GGCGCCACCAAGUUCGUGAUAUUUCACUCUCCUCCAAUAAACAAAGUGCGGCAGAAGAAGACAAGUCUUCAGUUUAGAGGAAAUGCAAAUGCCUCCAAACACAGUUGAAGAUUUCUUGAAAAUUCAGGCUGUGGUACAAAUGAGACCCUUAUGAUCCAUCACCAUCAUUAGAAGCUUGGACACCCUACUCCAGAGAGUAUAUCAAGUUCAUCGAACUCAUCACAGCUUAUGCGUCAAAUAUAAGAGUUAAUUACUGAACCCAGGAAGAAUGGCCCAGAAUCUUUCUUGAUGAAGAAGAAUUUGAUUUGGCAAAAGAAGACUUGGGGAUAUAUAGAUCAUCUGAUGCAAUUUCUGAUUAUCUUCUUGAAAUUUCACCCUUCCCAGCAGAAAGGCUAGUAACAGUUGGAAAACGGAUUGAUAAGUGUGAAUCAUUGCUAGAAGAAUAUGCUUCCAAAUUAUUUUCUAAUGAACAAAUGCUACCUAUGGCAAGAGAAACUCAGCUUCCCACUUUACAGAGAAUAAAACCCAUGCCAUUGUCCUGGAAGUGGAAUAUGAAACAUUUAGAAAAGUCAGGCACACAAGAAAAAAAUGUUAACGAGAACACAAUAGAGCCUGGCAAACUUAAUGCUGGAGCCUGUCGACAGAUCCAGUGCUUCUCUUGGGUGGAUUAUGAGAUAACGUUGUUUCAUCUGUCCAACAACGUUCCACCAUCAAUUCGUCUGUUGAAGGACACCGUUUCCUCGAAGUGACUUCAGCCUGAUCACUUGUUUGUCAUCUAUGGAAAAUAUGGUAAAUUCUUCACAGUUUAUAACAUGGAUGCCAGUAAAAACUUGACUUUACAAUGCCCACAUA